UAACAUGUUAAUAUGUGAAGAAUAAAUAUAUUUAAGAAUAAUUAUAUUGCUUGUAUUUUGGUUGCAGUUAAGGAGGACAUUGUAGUGUGUAUUAGCUGUUCAAGUGGACAUGGACAACAGGACAGAUUUGACAUUAUAAUAUGUGUACGUUUUUAGUCCGAUUAAGUAGGUCAGAGAGGUGUGUGCGGUGAAGCACGGCGGUUGGGGUUCCACCUUGGCCUAAUUUUGAGCCUGGAAAAACCCUGCAUCUUACUAUACUUGCUCAGGGACUAUUUCUUGUUCACAAAAACUGAAAACACAAAAAUACAGUAUAUUAUGACAUUCUAGCAUGUAGUGUUACCAAUACCAUGGUUGUUAAUGUUGAUCAAUAAUUACGGAAAUGCCUGGAGCUCCUUACUGUAACCUUUGGCUGCCAUUACAGGCUAGCUUUGUAUUUGCUGUAUAGGAUGGCUUGACACCAUCCUGUGGCCCAACAAGUGUAACUACAGUAACCUUUAACGUGUGUUUAUUUCAUCCCACAGACUAAUCAGAGUGCCCAUAGAAAAUAAGUUCUGGUAUGUGUGAGGUGGUGUGGUAAAUGGCCAAUAUACCACGUCUGAGUGCUGGUGUUAUGUACGACGCAUUGCGGAGGGCCUGGAUACAGCACUUAACUGUGGUAUAUUGGCUGAAAACCACGUGCCUCCAAGAUGAAUACUGUUAUUGAAAAACUCUUCACAGCCAAUCAGCAUGUAGGGUCUCAUACCUCUUGGUUUGUAAUUUCUGAUAUACUACCACAGCUAUCAGACAAUUAGCUCCCAGGUGCCAUUUUUACAUUUUAGUCAUUUAGCUAACGCCCUUUCCUAGAGCGACUUACCACAGUGAGUGCAUACAUUUCUGACCCAAAUUGUAAAUGAACUUGCCUGAAAUUUUGAUCUCAGCCUCUGUUGUAUGAUUGUUCUGUUGGAGAUGGAUUCUGCUGAGGAACCUGUAGGUAUCUCUCUUCACAACAACGUCCCCUGUCACAGUAUAAAGGCCCUCAACAACAGUGUAGCUAAAUUUUUACCAGCUUAAUUGAUGAAGAAAUUAUAAAGGAACACCUGUCCAUGAAACAGCUUUUGAGUCAAUUGCCCAAUUACAUUUGGUUCCUUGAAAAAGAGGCUGCUACAUAUUAAAGAGCUGUAAUUCCUGAACCCUACCUCCAAUUUGGAUGUGAAUACCUCAAAUUAAAGCUGAGAGACUGCACUUCAAGCACAUACUUAUUAUUUAACUGUGACCUGAAUAUAUAUUUGGUAAACAGACAAAAUAACAAAACUGUGUCCAAUUAUUUCCGGACCUAAACUGUAUGUGUUCAUCAUCUAUUGUAUUUGUGUGUCAACAUUGUGUAGAACUCAGUGAUCUGGCAUGCCUGCAAUUCUUUUAACAAAUUACAUCUCAACAAUCUCCAGAUUUUGACAGUCACAUUGUUUCGGGAUACAUUUUUUUUUUAAAGACAUUAACAUUCCCCCGAAAUUGGAAACCCUAGUUUUUUGCAUCGCACGUGAUUGAAUUACAACCCAAACUUUCGGGACAUUCCUCUUCUUUGGGGUAGCUAUGGAUUUGGUACACAAUGCCGACGGUCACGUCUGGACAGGUCAACAAAAGCAAAAGUGAUAUUUAACUGACUUGUUUUCUGUAGUCACUCAGUAGGUCCUUCACAGGAAUUAUGUUCUGACUUCUAACCUCUGGUCAAGUCCUAAUCCUGACAGUUUAAUGUGGGUCAACGGGUUAACUGUUACUGGCAGGAGGAUAGCAGCACUUUCUCUUGGACUGAUGUUGUCAGACUUGAUAGUUAGAGGUAGUGCAGGAAAGGUCCUGUCCUGGCCCGAGGAGACAGCGACGUUUCCAUGUAACUACAGCUACGAGGACCGACAGAACAUUACCCAGCUGUCCAUACAGUGGAGAGGACCUGGAAACAAACUCCUGUGUCACUACAUCAAACACAAGGCCUUCCUGAACUGCAGCCAGGGUUACUCACUGGACUAUAAACCAAAGAAGAUCACUCUUACCAUCACAGAAGUUCGGACAGAAGACUUUGGGUCUCAUGUUUGUACCGUGAGCAAGAGACAUGAGUUCUCUGACUGUAACAUUGAGCUAGCCAUGAAAACAGAUCCGAUCACUUCCUUUCCUACAAACAGGUGGGAUCGAACAGUGCUUCCUGAACGUCAUCUUGUUGUCCUUGCCUGCUCAGUGUUUGUCAGCACCUGGGGCUUAUGGUAGAAAUAAUAAAAUAUCUAUGAAUCUAGAAAUAUGUUAUUGAACAUAACAGAUUGAUAUGUCAUGUUUCAUAAAAAUGUUAUAUUUUAAAAUGGCAAAGAAUACAAGCUUUCUACAUGUAUGCAACAGACUCAUG
ensembl:lncRNA